rnacentral:tRNA from 2 species
UUAGUUGAAACCAAAAAGAGGUUUAUCACUGUUAAUGAUAUUAUUGAACAAAAUUCCAACUAAA